rnacentral:rRNA from 1 species
GAGUACGAUCGCAAGAUUAAAACUCAAAGGAAUUGACGGGGCCCCGCACAAGCAGCGGAGCAUGCGGCUUAAUUCGACGCAACGCGAAGAACCUUACCAAGGCUUGACAUAUACAGGAAUAUGGCAGAGAUGUCAUAGCCGCAAGGUCUGUAUACAGGUGGUGCAUGGUUGUCGUCAGCUCGUGUCGUGAGAUGUUGGGUUAAGUCCCGCAACGAGCGCAACCCUCGUUCUGUGUUGCCAGCAUUUAGUUGGGGACUCACAGGAGACUGCCGGGGUUAACUCGGAGGAAGGUGGGGAUGACGUCAAAUCACCAUGCCCCUUAUGUCUUGGGCUGCGCGCAUGCUACAAUGGCUGGUACAAACGGCUGCAAUACCGCAAGGUGGAGCGAAUCCGAGAAAGCCAGUCUCAGUUCGGAUUGGGGUCUGCAACUCGACCCCAUGAAGUCGGAGUUGCUAGUAAUCGUAGAUCAGCAACGCUACGGUGAAUACGUUCCCGGGGCUUGUACACACCGCCCGUCACGUCACGAAAUCGGUAACACCCGAA